GACGAACGCUGGCGGCGUGCUUAACACAUGCAAGUCGAACGGAAAGGCCCUGCUUUUGUGGGGUGCUCGAGUGGCGAACGGGUGAGUAACACGGGAGUAACCUGCCCUUGACUUUGGGAUAACUUCAGGAAACUGGGGCUAAUACCGGAUAGGAGCUCCUGCUGCAUGGUGGGGGUUGGAAAGUUUCGGCGGUUGGGGAUGGACUCGCGGCUUAUCAGCUUGUUGGUGGGGUAGUGGCUUACCAAGGCUUUGACGGGUAGCCGGCCUGAGAGGGUGACCGGCCACAUUGGGCCUGCGCUACGGCCCAGACUCCUACGGGAGGCAGCAGUGGGGAAUCUUGCACAAUGGGCGGAAGCCUGAUGCAGCAACGCCGCGUGCGGGAUGACGGCCUUCGGGUUGUAAACCGCUUUCGCCUGUGACGAAGCGUGAGUGACGGUAAUGGGUAAAGAAGCACCGGCUAACUACGUG
rnacentral:rRNA from 1 species